rnacentral:misc_RNA from 1 species
GUCGUAACAAGGUAGCCGUAGGGGAACCUGCGGCUGGAUCACCUCCUUAACGAAAGAUUGGUGACCGGUAAGAAUCCACAACAAGUUAUUCUUCGAAGAUGUAUCUGAGGGUCUGUAGCUCAGUUGGUUAGAGCACACGCUUGAUAAGCGUGGGGUCACAAGUUCAAGUCUUGUCAGACCCACCACUACUGACGAAGUGAUGAAUAAUCACAAGCUGCUAGAUAAAAAGAUAUGUCGUUCAUUAUGAUUAAAGCUGGGGACUUAGCUUAGUUGGUAGAGCGCCUGCUUUGCACGCAGGAGGUCAGGAGUUCGACUCUCCUAGUCUCCACCAUGAAUUAAAAGAGUUUGUAAAAACGAAAUUAAUUCAAAGCUAAAUAGAUUAUAGAGUUUAAUGAAUAAAAAGAUUAAGUAAUUGAUCUUGGUUUAUUAAUCUCUGUGAUUUAUCACAGUUUACUGCAAGCUGACGAGGCUGUAGUUAAUCAUUAACAGAUUAGAAAAUUGAGUCUGAAAUAAAUUGUUCACUCAAGAAUUUAAGUUGAUCGAAGUAAUUCGAUUGAUUUAAACAUAUUGAGAACUAGCAAAAAACACUGAAUCAAGCGUUUUGGUAUAUGAAUUUAGAUUGAAGCUGUACGGUGAUUAAGUUCACGAAGCAACAAACUGGAUGAGAGCGAUGUAAGUUGAAAAACGAACAUAGCAAUCUGUCCUANCCUUACUUGUAAGGGUUAGCGACUGUUUGGGGUUGUAUAGUCAAGUAAUUAAGUGCAUGUGGUGGAUGCCUUGGC